UACAGAGGGGGCAAGCGUUGUUCGGAAUUACUGGGCGUAAAGGGUGCGUAGGCGGCCUGUUAAGUCGAACGUGAAAUCCCCGGGCUCAACCCGGGAACUGCGUCCGAUACUGACAGGCUUGAAUUCGGGAGAGGGAUGCGGAAUUCCAGGUGUAGCGGUGAAAUGCGUAGAUAUCUGGAGGAACACCGGUGGCGAAGGCGGGUCUCUGGGCCGAUACUGACGCUGAGGAGCGAAAGCGUGGGGAGCAAACAGG
rnacentral:rRNA from 1 species